GGUCGAGCAAGGAUGAAAAUCGGACUUAGUGAUCCGGUGGUUCUGCGUGGAAGGGCCAUCGCUCAACGGAUAAAAGCUACCCUGGGGAUAACAGGCUUAUCUCCCCCAAGAGUCCACAUCGACGGGGAGGUUUGGCACCUCGAUGUCGGCUCAUCCCAUCCUGGGGCUGUAGUAGGUCCCAAGGGUUGGGCUGUUCGCCCAUUAAAGUGGUACGCGAGCUGGGUUCAGAACGUCGUGAGACAGUUCGGUCCCUAUCCGUCGCAGGCGUAGGAAAUUUGAGAAGACCUGUCCUUAGUACGAGAGGACCGGGAUGGACGUACCUCUGGUGUACCAGUUGUUCUGCCAAGGGCAUGGCUGGGUAGCUAUGUACGGAAUGGAUAAGCGCUGAAAGCAUCUAAGCGCGAAGCCAACUUCAAGAUAAGAUUUCCCACCGCAAGGGUAAGACCCCAGAAAGACUAUCUGGUUGAUAGGUCGAAGGUGUAAGUGCAGCAAUGUAUUUAGCUUAUCGAUACUAAUAGGUCGAGGACUUGACCAAAUU
rnacentral:rRNA from 1 species